AUUCCAGCCAUGUUGAGUAUUCUGUGAAUAAUUUUGAUUUUAGGUGCAUAUUCUUAAUUCUUUGCAAAACAACCUGAACUGUUUGCUAUUGAAAGGUUGGUAUGUAGUUUAAAUAAAUAAAAAUGAUAUUCUUGACAAAACCUGUGUAUAGUUGUAUUAAUAAUUAAAAUUAUUUAAUUAAUCAAUGGCCUAAUUACCAGUUAUCAGGUAAACAUUUAAAUCAGAACCAAUACAAAGCUGCAACGGAAACCAUUAAAUAUGUGCAAAUAAAAACUAAUAGAAACUUGUAAUGGAACCAUCAGAACCAAUACAAAACUGUGAUGGAAACCAUUAAAUAUGAGCAAAUAAAGACCAAUAGAAACUUGUAAUGGAACCACCAGAACGAUUACAAAACUGUGAUGGAAACCAUUAAAUAUGUGCAAAUAAAGACCAAUACAAACUUGUAAUGGAAACACCAGAACCAUUACAAAACUGUGAUGGAAACCAUUAAAUAUGUGCAAAUAAAGACCAAUACAAACUUGUAAUGGAACCAUCAGAACCAUUACAAAAUUGUGAUGGAAACCAUUAUGUGCAAAUCAUGACCAAUACAAAUUUGUAAUGGAAACCUAUACAAACCAAUAAAUCCUAAUGGAAUAUGCCCAAAAACACACUACGUAAUGGAAACCAUUUGGUAAUGGUUUUAAUGGUUAAUUGCUGAUGGUUUGUAAUGGUUUUGUAAUGGAAACCAUUAGAAUUUCUGUAAUGGUUUCUAUUGUUUUUUUCAGCAGGGUAAUUGGAGUACAGAACUCACUUAACCUGACAGCCAUUUUGAGAUGACAGCGACACGAGCAACAUCUUCUCCAAGAUAUUCCUUUUUAAUGGAUGCAGCAUGGAGGAAAUAAGACCAAAUAAACACAACAAAAGGAUCAGCAGGUUUAAACGUCGCAUCACAAAACUGAGAAAGCAUCAUGAUGCAUGCGCCAGGAGACUAUCAGCUAGACAGAAGGCAAAGGAAACCUCAAGUACUGGAUCGUUAUGCCCCACCAGGUCCCAGAUGAUGAGGUCCCAUCUCCCCUCAAGCAGGACAUCCUUGACUUACAGCUGAUUUGUAGAGAACGAUCCUUGCAGGAGGAUUCAAAGGCAAAUAUGGACAUUUCCGUGCCUUCAGAUGUUACCAAGCACCUAGCCAAACAGUCACUGUCUACAAAGAAAUCGGUGGACACGGAGAGUGAUACAGAUACAGUAAUUCUAGAAUUGCCCAGUUCUUCUGUAUCACCAAGAGCCUGUGAUAUCCCAGAGCUAAAGAUGACUGACAGUGUAUUUCUUACCAAGAAAUCAUUGAACUUCAGUUCCACUUCAGAUGACUCGAUAAGCAGCAUUGACAACAGUGAAGAUGAUUAUGUGCCUGAAUCGGAGAGCUGUUCAGAAGAAUCUGAAGAGAACCUUCCACAGCCUUUGUCCAGUCCCUCAUCUCCCAAUGUGGCAUUAGAUGGGGAUGUUGAUAUUUCCUCAUCCAUGAAUGCAGACAAAGAAUGUUCCCCACUUGAAGAUAAGGAGAAAACUACUCAUUCAGACAAUGAUUGUAGUAGUGAGGUUUCCGUAAUGAAACUGAAAAAGACUGCAUAUGGCCAAAGAAUGUACAACAAAAAGCAGUAUUGCUUUUACUGCUCCAAACCAUUCUGCAAAAUGGCAAGACACUUGGCCCAAGUUUAUAAGAAUGAGGUGGACGUAGCAAAAGCUCUUUCUUUUCCAAAGGGAUCUAAAGAAAGGAGGAUUAAUCUGGAUCUUUUGAGGAAUAAAGGGAACCGUGAACACAACACAAAUGUUCUGAAAUGUGGCAAAGGAGUGUUGGUGCCACGUCAACAAUCCACUGCUAAACAUGUGAGUGUUAAGGACUACAUGCACUGUUUGAACUGCCAAGGGCUGUUCCGACGAAAAGCACUUUGGAGGCAUAUGUCAAGGUGCAACCUGGCCAAGAAGUGCCAGGUUACAAAACCAGGUAGAUCCAGAGUUCAAGCACUCUGUGCUUAUGCACAGCCUGUUCCUGAAGGAGUAACUAACAAAUUAUGGAAACUGAUCAGUGACAUGAAGCAAGAUGAAGUAACAUAUGCAGUUAAAAGUGAUGCAUGCAUCAUCAAAUUUGGGGAACACUUGUGCAACAAAAUGGGUAGCGACAAAACCAAGCACGAAUACAUCAGAACUAAAAUGCGUGAGGCUGGAAGGCUGUUGGUGUGUGCUAGGAAAGUGGGAAAGCUGCAGAGUAUUAAAGACUUCUUCAUACCCACAAACUUCUAUCACGUCAUCAAGGCUGUUAAAGAUACCUCGGGAUUCCGAGAAGAAGAUGAGGUCUUCGCAAUUCCAUCUUUGGCAUUAAAACUGGGGCACAACCUUAAAAAAAUGGCCGAUAUUGCAGAAUGUGAAGCAAUGAUUGCAGGAGAGGAAAAAGAUGUCCGAAAUGUAAAAAUGUUUAAGCAAAUGUAUACCACAAAAUGGAAUGAAUUUGUGUCCUCCUCAGCCUUGAAGACGCUUAAUGAAGCGAAAUGGAACUCUCCAGAACUUCUCCCUUUCACUGAGGAUGUUAAAAAAAUGCACAUACAUCUCAGCAAUCAAACUGAAUUGUACCAAGAAAAGCUCAAACUUGAGAAAAGUCAGAAGAACUGGUCAGAUCUUGCACAAGUAACUCUGUGUGAUGUAAUUGUGUUUAAUCGCAGGAGAGCAGGAGAAGUUUCGAAAAUGAGGUUGAAUUCAUAUCUUCUCCGAAACACAUCUGUCUUGCAUUCCGAUGUCGCUGAUGCUUUAUCUGAAGUUGAGCAGAAGCUCUGUCAGCAUUUCCAACGUGUCGAAAUUAGAGGCAAGUGAGACCGAAAAGUGCCGAUACUCCUGACCCCAAGUAUGCUGGACUCCAUGGAGCUACUUGUAAAGAACCGUCAAGCAUGUGGCGUACUGGAUGAAAAUAUAUUUUUUUUCGCAAAGCCCUUGACUGAGACAUCAUACUACAAAGGUACAGACUGCAUCAGGAAGGUUGCCCACCAGUGUGGAGCCAAACAUCCAAAGACUUUGUCAUCCACAAAGCUGCGGAAACAUAUUGCAAUGCUAUCUAAAGUCCUAAAUCUGACAGAUACUGAGUUGGACCAGUUGGCAGAUUUUAUGGGACAUGAUAUAAGAGUCCAUAGGAAGUUUUACCGGUUGCCUGAAGGAACGUUACAACUAGCAAAGAUCAGCAAGGUGCUGAUGGCCCUUGAACAGGGAAGAGUAUCAGAAUUCAAGGGGAAAAACCUUGAUGAAAUUAACCUUGAUCCUUAUGAGAAAGUGAAUGUAGAUCCUGAUGUUUCUGAAAGUGAGGAUGAAGAAAGUGAGAGUGAGCUGCCACAGCCAAAAAAGUGCCGUCAGUCCUCUUCAACAUCUACAGAGGAAUCUUCUGGCAGCAAGUCUUUAAAUGAGAGUGAGAUGCCAUCGCCAAAGCAGCAGUGUCAGUCCCCUUCAACAUCUACAGAAGAACAUUUGUUUCGGCACAAGUCGGCAAAGGAGAGAGAGACUCCUUCAAAUUCAGGUGCGUCAAGAUGCCCAAAAAGAAAAUGGACAGAAGAGGAGGUGAAGGCAGUCGAGAACAAACUUUCGGAUUGCAUCACAUCUGGCAGGGUACCGGGGAAAAGGCAGUGUGAAGACUGCAUCAGGUCAGCGCCGGUAUUGCUUAAACAUAGAACCUGGGAAGCAGUGAAGUUUUAUAUCAAGAACCGAAUUACAGCAUUCAAGAGGGAGUGUGAGAAAAGAAAAAAAAUGUGAUCAUGGCUCCGUUCAGUUUUUCUUUGUCAGUGAAGUUUAGCACUUUCUAAGAUGUAAGAAGUUUUUGCACUUGUUUUUGUACGCCUCUUCUCUUUUUGUACGCUUCUUUUAAAACCCUUUUCUCUUCUGCUGUUGGGAAAAAUAAGAUCCUCAUCGUUGUCAUGAGGGGUAUUGAGAGUUAACCUUUCAGUUUGGAAAAAUUAAGGACUUGUUUAGUCCAAGGGGAUUCAGUGUUUCAACUGUUGCACUUUACAGCCAAAAUGUUUGUCCAAAAGCAAUGACAAAUAAAAUCAGUCUGAAAUACUUUUGCCAAAGAACAAUUUAUUUGAAUGCAAUUUAUUUGAAUUUGAAUGCAUUUGUAAUACAGUUGUGUGUAGUGGUAGCAGGUAGCACCUGUUGACCUAUAUGAAGAUGCUGAUUUAAGAAGUUUGAGGUGAGGUCCCCAUUGGUAACCUUUUAAACACACACAGUGAUGUCAUUAAUUAGCAUAUCAAAACAACUGCGAACAACGCACAACACUGAGGUUGGGCUAGACUCAAACUGCACAACACAAGCUUUCCAACGAUGUGAUAAACAUUCUGAUUGAAUAUUGUUUUAAUGAACAACUAGAUAAAAAAGUUUGUCAAGACAAACUUUAAGUUGGCUUGAGAAAGCC